rnacentral:misc_RNA from 1 species
UCUCCGUUGGUGAACCAGCGGAGGGAUCAUUACAGAGUUGCAAAACUCCCAAACCAUUGUGAACGUUACCUAUCCCGUUGCUUCGGCGGGCGGCCCGGGCCCCGCGCCCGGCGCCCCCCGGCCCCCCGUGGGCGCCCGCCGGAGGUAAACCAAACCCUUGAAUUGCAUGGCCUCUCUGAGUCUUCUGUACUGAAUAAGUUAAAACUUUCAACAACGGAUCUCUUGGUUCUG